rnacentral:lncRNA from 1 species
AACAAGUUUGCCGGUUGGAUCAUGAAAACUAGUUUCGGGUUUAGGGUUUCUGCGGUUUAGGGUUUAGGGUUUAGGGUACAGGGUUUGCGCGACGAAUAAACGUGUUUGGUCGCACAAAGCCUGCCAAGGCCGGCUUUGCGCGACGAAUACAAGACUUGUCGUCGCGCCAUACCAGCAAUAACUUUCACAUUUCACUCUCUUCCUCCUUGGACACUCAGCGGAAAUUUUUUUGCGAGGUCUUGCGCGACGAAGUGAUUUCAAUUCGUCGCGCCAUACCAGCCAGAACUUUCACAUUUCACUGUCUUCCUCCUUCAACACUUAGCGGAAUUUUUUUUGCGAGGUCUUGAGCGACGAAGUGGGUUCAAUUCGUCGCGCCAUACCAGCCAGAACUUUC